rnacentral:rRNA from 1 species
CGAUUACUGCUCAGUAACACGUAGUCAACCUAACCUAUGGACGGAAAUAACCUCGGGAAACUGAGAAUAAUGUCCGAUAGAACACUAUACCUGGAAUGGUUUGUGUUCCAAAUGAUUUAUCGCCGUAGGAUGGGACUGCGGCCUAUCAGUUUGUUGGUGAGGUAAUGGCCCACCAAGACUAUUACAGGUACGGGCUCUGAGAGGAGUAGCCCGGAGAUGGGUACUGAGACACGGACCCAGGCCCUAUGGGGCGCAGCAGGCGAGAAAACUUUGCAAUGUGCGAAAGCACGACAAGGUUAAUCCGAGUGAUUUGUGCUAAACGAAUCUUUUGUUAGUCUUAGAACCACUAACGAAUAAGGGGUGGGCAAGUUCUGGUGUCAGCCGCCGCGGUAAAACCAGCACCUCAAGUGGUCAGGAUGAUUAUUGGGCCUAAAGCAUCCGUAACCGGCUCUGUAAGUUUUCGGUUAAAUCUGUACGCUCAACGUACAGGCUGCCGGGAAUACUGCAGAGCUAGGGAGUGGGAGAGGUAGACGGUACUCGGAAGGAAGGGGUAAAAAUCCUUUGAUCUUU